CCUACGGGUGGCAGCAGUCGAGAAUCAUUCACAAUGGGGGAAACCCUGAUGGUGCGACGCCGCGUGGGGGAAUGAAGGUCUUCGGAUUGUAAACCUCUGUCAUGUGGGAGCAAAUUAAAAAGAUAGUACCACAAGAGGAAGAGACGGCUAACUCUGUGCCAGCAGCCGCGGGAAUACAGAGGUCUCAAGCGUUGUUCGGAAUCACUGGGCGUAAAGCGUGCGUAGGCUGUUUCGUAAGUCGUGGGUGAAAGGCGCGGGCUCAACCCGCGGACGGCACAUGAUACUGCGAGACUAGAGUAAUGGAGGGGGAACCGGAAUUCUCGGUGUAGCAGUGAAAUGCGUAGAUAUCGAGAGGAACACUCGUGGCGAAGGCGGGUUCCUGGACAUUAACUGACGCUGAGGCACGAAGGCCAUGGGAGCGAAAGGGAUUAGAUACCCGUGUAGUC
rnacentral:rRNA from 1 species